UUACGUUUGUUGUGAGACUUAUUCUAAGAAACACAUGUAAAUUACUUACGUACUCAAUAUCCGUAAGUACUAAUUUCAUCCUCAUACUCAACCUAUGGAUGGCAGAUAGAAGACCAGACUCAGAGGGUCAGAAGCCCUGUGGCCAGGGUGAACAAAUCUAAGAAGCACAGAACUGAAUAAGUGACUGCGAGGAGUCUCCGACCCCUGACCACUUUCUUAUUUCCUCAGACCUGCCCUAUGAUUACAUGACUGCAAGGGGAAAAGGCUAUAAACUAUAACAAUUCAAAAUGUUUAUAAAUGUUGCUGGGGUUCCAAGUACUUAGAUUUUCUGUAGCCUCAAUUAUCAGCAAACCAUGGUGACUGUGGCAAACUAAAACAAAGCAAAGGGAGAAUUUUUGUUUUUUGUCUUUGAAACUCAGAGACCGUAUCUCUGAGUUUUUCCUGGGACCAAGAAGAAACUUUGUGAAUGAGGACACAUUUAAAAAGGUCCUUAGGAAUGAAGCCCCUGGAUGUGAUCCAGGAAGACGCACAGACCAGCCCUGCUUCGAACGUUGUCUUGUGGGAGGUUCU
rnacentral:lncRNA from 1 species